rnacentral:lncRNA from 1 species
UACUACUCAAUUUUUUUUUGUCUUAUCAUUCUAUUUUCUAGAGGUGUAAUGUAACAGUACAAGUAGAAGCAACACGUGACAUAACCACGCACACCUAAACCACGUGAACUUAAUACUGCUGAAGGAUUCGAAGAAGGAGGCGCAAAAGGCGCGUGAGAUACUGUUCUUUUAACCAUCUCUCUCUUUUCUUUGGUCUUCGUAACCUUUUUUUCUUCUAAUCAACGAUAUGUGACUAACAUUUAAUCAUAAUUUUGUAUUCAUGCAAUCGAUUACAAACUGCUCGAUGACUUGUGAUACACUCUACUACAUUGAAGAAAAUCUUGUGAUCUCAUCAAAUUAUACACAUUUAAUUUAGGGGAUUAUGUAGCUGACGUGAAAAUUAUCUGCCGACAAAUGACUUUAUUAUGAUUAACGAUUUUAAAGAAAGCUUAUAGUGGACCUUAAGUAAAACAGAGUGACACAAUAAUUGAAAGCAAAGUCGAGAUUCAAACGUAAAUUGUUUUGUACAUGUUUUGUACUGUUCUUCUUCUUGGAGGAUUAAACAAUUUACGUUGAAUCUCGACUUUGCUUUCAAUUUUUGUAUGUUCUGUUUUAGAAUUUCUCAAUUUUGAAUCUAGAUCUGUGUUCUUCUUCGCUGAACUCUUGUCUAGAUCUUCUUUGCUUGGUUUGCUCAAAUCCAUGUUUUGUACUGUUCUUCUUCUUGAAGGAUGAUGUUUACUCUCCUCUAUGUGUGUGUAGAUGGCUUGUAUUUUCAAGUGGUGGGGAGAUUGCCUUGAGCGGCGAAAGGAUGCCCGUAUGAAUUGUGCAUUGAUGAAAUAAAUGGUAUCCAAGUGAUAUUGAGGGAUGCGUAGAGAAAAGUAGAACUCCUUAAGGUUCAAUAUACCCAGGCUAUGAAUACCGACGAUCCCGUAGGUAAAAACUAAAAUUAUGUGGUAAUCUAGAAAGUAGAAACAUAAUUGCACUUCCAAAUUUUCUAGGUUUCUGGUUUGAUUUUUUUUUACCUAACAGUGUAAGUAAGUAAUAACGAUGAUUUUCUUCAAUUCCCACGAUAAUUUUAGAGUCAUAUUAUUAUACUGGUUAUUCUUCGAACAUUUAAUAUCGUAUACAGGUAAAUUAUAGAUAAUUAAGAAACUAUAUGUAGACGACCAAAGAGAAGAAAGAUGAUUCCAAAAUUUGGGUAUGACUUAUCAAUCUCUUCACUGCGACUAAAAUUAAUCCGACUUGUAUAAGUACAAGUGUAACUAGUCAAAUUAUUAUUUUGUUUUUUCCAAAACUAAAAUUAUGUGGUUUGAAUAUUUGAUUUUCAUUAUUUGAAAACAUAAUUAAUUUUUUUAUUGCAGACCAACAUAGGGCUUCAGAGAUUGAGAAAGUUUACAGAGAACUCAUUUUAGACAUUGAAC